AACGAACGCUGGCGGCAGGCCUAACACAUGCAAGUCGAGCGCGCACUACAGGGUGAGCGGCGGACGGGUGGGCAACGCGCGGGGACGGGCCCUUUUCUACGGAACAAACCCGGGAAACAGAGAGUAAUACCGUAGACGCCCUAAGGGGGAAAGACUACUCCGGACAAGAUAGGCCUGCGUAGGAUUAGGUAGUUGUUUGGGUAAUGGCUGGCCAAGCGGGCGAUACGUAGCUGGGUUGGGAGCAGGCUCAGCCACACAGGGACUGCGAGACGGCCCAGACUCGUACGGGAGGCAGCAGUGGGGAGUCUUAGACAAUGAGGGCGAGCGUAGGCUAGCCGUGCCGUGUGAGGUAUGCAGGCCUUAGGGUUGUAAAGCUCUUUCAGCUGGGGAGAUAUUGACGGUACCUGCAGAAGAAGCCCCGGCUAACUCCGUG
rnacentral:rRNA from 1 species